GCCGCUGUGGCGGAAUUGGUAUACGCGCACGACUCAAAAUCGUGUGGGGCAACCCGUGUCGGUUCGACUCCGACCAGCGGCACCA
rnacentral:tRNA from 1 species